rnacentral:lncRNA from 1 species
AUAAUAAAUAAAAACCUCGAGGCUUUAAAAAAAAAAAAAAAAAACCAAACCCCCAAAAAAACCCGCCAGGAAUAAAAGGAGGAAGGGAAAAAAAUGAUUUAAAAAUUAAUGAGUGAGCCCCAGGAAUUAAUUAAGAAUUAAUUAAAACUUAAUUAAGCCGAGGAGGAAAAUUGGGGACGUCACCCAUGGGACCCCCAUUUUGGGGACCAUCCCCAUUUUGGGGACCUUCUCCUUUUUGGGGACCCCCUUCAUUUUGGGGACCUUCUCCAUUUUGGGGACCUUCUCCACCUUGGGGACCCCCAUUUUGGGGACCCCCCAUUUUAGGGGAGCACCCCCACCUUGGGGACCCCCCCCAUUUUAGGGACUUUCAAUGGGACCCCCCCAUUUUGGGGAAACCCCAGUUUUGGGGACCGUCCCCACCUUGGUGACCUUCUCCAUUUUGAGGACCUUCUCCACCUUGGGGACCCCCCAUUUUUGGGACCCUCCCCAUUUUGGGGACCCCUCAUUUUGGGGAC